rnacentral:tRNA from 1 species
GGAAUUUUAGCUCUGCGGCAUAGCACCUGCCUUAUAAGCAGAAGGUCCUGAGUUCAAUCCCCAGGACCA